rnacentral:lncRNA from 1 species
CUAUGGAAGGAACCUUGAAGAGUUCAAAGGGCACUGUUCUCGCUAUAGAGCAGACUUCUUCCAAGAAAAAAUCUACUGAGAAAAAGAAGACAAAAUCUGUUAAGAAGUAGAAAAAGGAGAGAAAGCCAAAGAAGAAAGUUUCUAAGAAGGUCGAAGCAGUGAUGCUGAAGGCCACUGGAGGAGGAACUGUCCACUCUACCUGGAGAGCU